rnacentral:rRNA from 1 species
CAAUAAGCGGAGGAAAAGAAACCAACAGGGAUUGCCUCAGUAACGGCGAGUGAAGCGGCAACAGCUCAAAUUUGAAAGCUGCCAACAGGCCGCAUUGUAAUUUGUAGAAGAUGCUUUGGGUGUCGGUCCAGUCUAAGUUCCUUGGAACAGGACGUCAUAGAGGGUGAGAAUCCCGUAUGUGAUUGGUGCCGGUACCCGUGUAAAGCUCUUUCGACGAGUCGAGUUGUUUGGGAAUGCAGCUCAAAAUGGGUGGUAAAUUUCAUCUAAAGCUAAAUAUUGGCCAGAGACCGAUAGCGCACAAGUAGAGUGAUCGAAAGA